GAUGAACGCUGGCGGCGUGCCUAAUACAUGCAAGUCGAGCGAACAGAUGAGGAGCUUGCUCCUCUGACGUUAGCGGCGGACGGGUGAGUAACACGUGGAUAACCUACCUAUAAGACUGGGAUAACUUCGGGAAACCGGAGCUAAUACCGGAUAAUAUAUUGAACUGCAUGGUUCAAUAGUGAAAGACGGUUUUGCUGUCACUUAUAGAUGGAUCCGCGUCGCAUUAGCUAGUUGGUAAGGUAACGGCUUACCAAGGCAACGAUGCGUAGCCGACCUGAGAGGGUGAUCGGCCACACGGGAACUGAGGCACGGCCCAGACUCCUACGGGAGGCAGCAGUAGGGAAUCUUCCGCAAUGGGCGAGAGCCUGACAGAGCAACGCCGCGUGAGUGAUGAAGGUCUUCGGAUCGUAAAGCUCUGUUAUUAGUGAAGAACAAAUGUGUAAGUAACUAUGCACGUCUUGACGGUACCUAAACAAUAAGCCCCGGCUAACUACGUG
rnacentral:rRNA from 1 species